AACUCUAAGCGGUGGAUCACUUGGCUCAUGAGUCGAUGAAGAAUGCAGCUAGUUGCGAGAACUAAUGUGAAUGGCAGGAUACAUUGAUCAUUGACACCGAGCGCACUUUGCGGCCCCAGGUUACUCCCGGGGCUACGCCUGUCUGAGGGCCA